GACGAACGCUGGCGGCGUGCCUAAUACAUGCAAGUCGAGCGGACCAAACAGGAGCUUGCUCUUGUUUGGUUAGCGGCGGACGGGUGAGUAACACGUGGGUAACCUGCUCGUAAGACCGGGAUAACCCCGGGAAACCGGCGCUAAUCCCGGAUAACACCGAGGACCGCAUGGGGUUUGGGUGAAAGGCGGCUUCGGCUGCCACUCACGGAGGGUCUCGCGGCGCAUUUGGUAGUUGGUGCGGUAACGGCUCACACAGGCGACGGUGCGUAGAGGGCCGGAGGGGGUGACCGGCCACACUGGGACUGAGACACGGCCCAGAGUCCCACGGGAGGCAGCAGUAGGGAAUCGUCCGCAAGCGACGAGAGUCUGACGGAGCGACGCCGAGUGAGCGAAGAAGGUCUUCGGAUCGUAAAGCUCGGUUGUUAGGGAAGAAGAAGCGCCGUUCGAACAGGGCGGCGCGGUGACGGUACCUAACGAGAAAGCCCCGGCUAACUACGUG
rnacentral:rRNA from 1 species